rnacentral:rRNA from 1 species
CUUGGUCCANUUAGAGGAAGUAAAAGUCGUAACAAGGUCUCCGUUGGUGAACCAGCGGAGGGAUCAUUACCGAGUUUACAACUCCCAAACCCCUGUGAACAUACCACUUGUUGCCUCGGCGGAUCAGCCCGCUCCCGGUAAAACGGGACGGCCCGCCAGAGGACCCCUAAACUCUGUUUCUAUAUGUAACUUCUGAGUAAAACCAUAAAUAAAUCAAAACUUUCAACAACGGAUCUCUUGGUUCUGGCAUCGAUGAAGAACGCAGCAAAAUGCGAUAAGUAAUGUGAAUUGCAGAAUUCAGUGAAUCAUCGAAUCUUUGAACGCACAUUGCGCCCGCCAGUAUUCUGGCGGGCAUGCCUGUUCGAGCGUCAUUUCAACCCUCAAGCACAGCUUGGUGUUGGGACUCGCGUUAAUUCGCGUUCCUCAAAUUGAUUGGCGGUCACGUCGAGCUUCCAUAGCGUAGUAGUAAAACCCUCGUUACUGGUAAUCGUCGCGGCCACGCCGUUAAACCCCAACUUCUGAAUGUUGACCUCGGAUCAGGUAGGAAUACCCGCUGAACUUAAGCAUAUCAAUAAGCGGAGGAAAAGAAACCAACAGGGAUUGCCCUAGUAACGGCGAGUGAAGCGGCAACAGCUCAAAUUUGAAAUCUGGCUCUCGGGCCCGAGUUGUAAUUUGUAGAGGAUACUUUUGAUGCGGUGCCUUCCGAGUUCCCUGGAACGGGACGCCAUAGAGGGUGAGAGCCCCGUCUGGUUGGAUGCCAAAUCUCUGUAAAGUUCCUUCAACGAGUCGAGUAGUUUGGGAAUGCUGCUCUAAAUGGGAGGUAUAUGUCUUCUAAAGCUAAAUACCGGCCAGAGACCGAUAGCGCACAAGUAGAGUGAUCGAAAGAUGAAAAGCACUUUGAAAAGAGAGUUAAAAAGUACGUGAAAUUGUUGAAAGGGAAGCGUUUAUGACCAGACUUGGGCUUGGUUAAUCAUCUGGGGUUCUCCCCAGUGCACUUUUCCAGUCCAGGCCAGCAUCAGUUUUCCCCGGGGGAUAAAGGCGGCGGGAAUGUGGCUCUCUUCGGGGAGUGUUAUAGCCCACCGUGUAAUACCCUGGGGGGGACUGAGGUUCGCGCAUCUGCAAGGAUGCUGGCGUAAUGGUCAUCAACGACCCGUCUUGAACCACGGACC